rnacentral:rRNA from 1 species
UACGGAGGGGGCUAGCGUUGUUCGGAAUUACUGGGCGUAAAGCGCACGUAGGCGGCUUUCUAAGUCGGGGGUGAAAUCCUGGAGCUCAACUCCAGAACUGCCUUCGAUACUGGAGAGCUCGAGUCCGGGAGAGGUGAGUGGAACUGCGAGUGUAGAGGUGAAAUUCGUAGAUAUUCGCAAGAACACCAGUGGCGAAGGCGGCUCACUGGCCCGGUACUGACGCUGAGGUGCGAAAGCGUGGGGAGCAAACAGG